GUCUAUGCCCAUACACCCUUGAAUGCACCCGAACUUGUCCAAUCUCAGAAGCUAAACAGGGUCAGGCCUGGUUAGUACUUGGAUGUGACAAAGUUAAGCACUGUGUUGUUGACA
ensembl:rRNA 5S_rRNA 5S ribosomal RNA